ACGGAGGGGGCUAGCGUUGUUCGGAAUUACUGGGCGUAAAGCGCACGUAGGCGGCGAUUUAAGUCAGAGGUGAAAGCCUGGAGCUCAACUCCAGAACUGCCUUUGAGACUGGAUUGCUAGAAUCCUGGAGAGGUGAGUGGAAUUCCGAGUGUAGAGGUGAAAUUCGUAGAUAUUCGGAAGAACACCAGUGGCGAAAGCGGCUCACUGGACAGGUAUUGACGCUGAGGUGCGAAAGCGUGGGGAGCAAACAG
rnacentral:rRNA from 1 species